rnacentral:rRNA from 1 species
GCAUACUCUAGAUCCUGAUUCAUUUUAUUUUAAUAAAUAAAAUUACUGCCAAAUCCUAACAGAAAAAAUUUUACAAAUUUCAACUUAAUACUGUAACCCAUCUCUUCUCUUAAAAGCUGCACCUUGAUUUGAUCUAAAAUAAAAUUUUAUUUAAAGAAAAUUAGCCUUCUUUAGAAAUAUUCAUUUCAACAACGAUAUACAAGCAAUAUAAAAGUAAAAUAAAUUGUGGACUAUCAAUUACAGGACAGGUUCCUCUGGUAGGUUCAAGUACCGCCAAGAUAUUUAAUUUUCAAGCACUUAACUAAUACUAAUCCGGUUUCAAUAAUAACAAUAUCAAUAACAGGGUAUCUAAUCCUGGUUUACAAUAACAUUUUCUUAGAUCAUCUCAUUUUUCAUCCUUAAUUUUUCUAUUAAAAUUUCACCUCUCAAUAUAACUACUUUAAAUCACUAAUUAAUUAACUAAAACCACAAAAAUUAAAUAGCACCUUUUGUAUAACCGCA